rnacentral:rRNA from 1 species
UACGGGGGGGGCAAGCGUUGUUCGGAAUUACUGGGCGUAAAGGGUUCGUAGGUGGCCUACUAAGUCAGACGUGAAAUCCCUCAGCUUAACUGGGGAACUGCGUCUGAGACUGGUGGGCUUGAGUGCAGGAGAGGAACGCGGAAUUCCAGGUGUAGCGGUGAAAUGCGUAGAUAUCUGGAGGAACACCGGUGGCGAAGGCGGCGUUCUGGACUGCAACUGACACUGAGGAACGAAAGCCAGGAGAGCAAACGGG